GAAGCCCUCCACAUUUUUUUUUAAAGCAGAGAAGUAAUGUGACCUGAUUUAAAUUUUUUAAAGAUCACUGUAAGAGCUCUUUGGAGACUGAAAUGAGGGGACAGUGGUAGAAGCAAGGACACCCUCCAGAGAGACGAUUGCAUAAUCCAAGCAAGAAAUUAUUGUUACCUUAGGUUAAAGUAGUGGAGUGAGGAUGAUGAGAAUGGAUGAAAUCAGCGUAUAAUUCGGUGGUAGAACCAUUGAACGAUUUUAAUCAGUUAGUCUGAAUAAAUUCAAGAAGAAUUUACUGUGCUCUUACUGUGUUCUGGGCAUAGUUCUAAAUGCCAGAGUUAUAGUGGUGGACAAGACAGACAGAGCCCUUGCCCUCAAAGAGUUUCUAUUCUGAUGGGGGGAGGAGUUGGGGAAUAGACAUAUAAAGAAAUGAAUGAAAUAAUUUUAUAUACUGAUAAAUGUCAUGGAAAAGAGAAAAUAUAGUAAUGUAAUUAAUAGAAGACCAGGGAGGCUGCUUACCUUUUGAAACAACUAGUUAUUGAGGCAAAAUUUAUAUAUAACAAAAUGCAUCCUUUAAAUUGUAAAGUUUGAUGAGUUUUGACAUACGAAUAUACCUGUGCAUCCACCAUUAGUCAAUAUAUAGAACAUUUCUCUCACCCUAGAAAUUUCCCUGGUGCCCUUUUGCAGUUCAUCCUCCCUCUCCUCUGCCUUAGCUCCAGAUAACCACUGACAUGCUUGCUGUCACUAUAGAUUCAUUCUGAGGCUACUUACUUUUAAAGAAGAUAAUUUUGCUGCCCUUAAGGAAUGAGUUGGAAUGAACUGGACUGGAGGGGUACAAGAGGAGCAAGACUAGAGAUGGCCCAUUCUACAGAUGAGGAACCCAAUGCGAGGAGAGCAGGGUUUCAACCCCGACUGUCAGGCUCCAGAGACAUGUGGGAUGCUGCCCAUCUCCUCUCUUCAGACGGGAUUGCAACUGCAGAAUCCACCACUUCCGGAACUCAUAAAGUCUCACCCUUUGAGAUAGUACAGGAUGCCAAACACACUUGGCUCCUGCGUCUUUUGACCCACAACUGAUAAAAGGAGAGAAACUCCAGUAUUGCAAAGGCCUAAUUGUUUCUAUUAAAAAUAGCCAUGUUUUGUUAGAGGAGUCUUUUCACAGUGGACUCUCAGGAGGAUGAAGACCUUAAGCAUCACAAGUUGCAAAAUGGAGAUUUCAUCUAUAGCAAAAGACAUCUCCAGAAGAACUCUCUUCAACCUUGUUGGAGAAGCCCCUAUCAGGUACUGCUAACCAACCCUUGUGCCACUGAACCCCAAGGAAAAGACUCUUGGAUUCAUGUGACACACUUAAAGAAAGCACCGACUAAUGAGAACUUACUGUAUAGCACAAGGAACUCUACUCAGUGCUCUGUGGUGACCUAAAUGGGAAGGAAAUCCAAAAAAGAGGGGAUGUAUGUAUACGUA